rnacentral:rRNA from 1 species
ACUCCUACGGGAGGCAGCAGUGGGGAAUCUUGGACAAUGGGCGCAAGCCUGAUCCAGCCAUGCCGCGUGAGUGAUGAAGGCCCUAGGGUCGUAAAAGCUCUUUCGCCAGGGAUGAUAAUGACAGUACCUGGUAAAGAAACCCCGGCUAACUCCGUGCCAGCAGCCGCGGUAAUACGGAGGGGUUAGCGUUGUUCGGAAUUACUGGGGCGUAAAGCGCGCGUAGGCGGACUGGAAAGUUGGGGGUGAAAUCCCGGGGCUCAACCCCGGAACUGCCUCCAAAACUCCCAGUCUUGAGUUCGAGAGAGGUGAGUGGAAUUCCGAGUGUAGAGGUGAAAUUCGUAGAUAUUCGGAGGAACACCAGUGGCGAAGGCGGCUCACUGGCUCGAUACUGACGCUGAGGUGCGAAAGUGUGGGGAGCAAACAGGAUUAGAUACCCUGGUAGGAUAGCG